GAUGAACGCUGGCGGCGUGCCUAAUACAUGCAAGUCGAGCGAACGGACGAGAAGCUUGCUUCUCUGAUGUUAGCGGCGGACGGGUGAGUAACACGUGGAUAACCUACCUAUAAGACUGGGAUAACUUCGGGAAACCGGAGCUAAUACCGGAGAAUAUUUUGAACCGCAUGGUUCAAAAGUGAAAGACGGUCUUGCGGUAACUUAUAGCUGGAUCCGCGCUGCAUUAGCUAGUUGGUAAGGUAACGGCUUAUCAAGGCAACGAUGCCUAGCCGAACUGAGAGGGGGAUAGGCCACACUGGAACUGAGACACGGUCCAGACUCCUACGAGAGGCAGCAGUAGGGAAUCUUCCGCAAUGGGCGAAAGCCUGACGGAGCAACGCCGCGUGAGUGAUGAAGGUCUUCGGUUCGUAAAACUCUGUUAUUAGGGAAGAACAGAUGUGUAAGUAACUGUGCACAUCUUGACGGUACCUAAUCAGAAAGCCACGGCUAACUACGUG
rnacentral:rRNA from 1 species